rnacentral:rRNA from 1 species
UUGUCCGGAAUCAUUGGGCGUAAAGAGCGUGUAGGCGGUCCGUUAAGUCGGCUGUGAAAGUCCAAGGCUCAACCUUGGGAUGCCGGUCGAUACUGCCGGACUAGAGUUCGGAAGAGGCGAGUGGAAUUCCCGGUGUAGCGGUGAAAUGCGCAGAUAUCGGGAGGAACACCUAUGGCGAAGGCAGCUCGCUGGGACGUUACUGACGCUGAGACGCGAAAGCUAGGGUAGCAAAUGGG